rnacentral:rRNA from 1 species
CGGGACGGGUGAGUAAUGCUUGGGAAUCUAGCUUAUGAGGGGGAGUAACUACGGGAAACUGUAGCUAAUACCGCGUAAUAUCGAAAGAUUAAAGUGUGGGACCUUCGGGCCACAUGCCAUAGGAUGAGCCCAAGUGGGAUUAGGUAGUUGGUGAGGUAAAGGCUCACCAAGCCGACGAUCUCUAGCUGGUCUGAGAGGAUGACCAGCCACACUGGGACUGAGACACGGCCCAG